CGUAGGAUCCGAGCGUUGUCCGGAUUUACUGGGUGUAAAGGGUGCGCAGGCGGACUGGUAAGUCAGAGGUGAAAUCUCGUCGCUCAACGACGAAACUGCCUUUGAUACUAUCAGUCUUGAAUCCGGUAGAGAUCUGUGGAAUUCCGAGUGUAGCAGUGAAAUGUGUAGAUAUUCGGAAGAACACCAGUGGCGAAGGCAGCAGAUUGGGCCGGUAUUGACGCUCAGGCACGAAAGCAUGGGGAUCAAACAGGAUUAGAGACCCUGGUAGUCCAUGCCCUAAACGAUGUUCACUUGAUGUCUGCCCUCAGGGUAGGUGUCGAAGCUAACGCGAUAAGUGAACCACCUGGGGAGUACGCUCGCAAGGGUG
rnacentral:rRNA from 1 species